GUGUCAGCAGCCGCGGUAAUACGAAGGGGGCAAGCGUUGUUCGGAGUUACUGGGCGUAAAGGGCGCGUAGGCGGUUUUCCAAGUCAGGCGUGAAAGCCCUGGGCUUAACCCGGGAAUUGCGUUUGGGACUGGAAGACUUGAGAUAUGGAGAGGUAAGUGGAAUUCCCAGUGUAGAGGUGAAAUUCGUAGAGAUUGGGAAGAACACCGGUGGCGAAGGCGGCUUACUGGCCAUUAUCUGACGCUGAGGCGCGAAAGCGUGGGGAGCAAACAGGAUUAGAUACCCUUGUAGUCC
rnacentral:rRNA from 1 species